GAACAUAACCCUCAAGAAUCUAUCAUCCUUUCACCUUACGUUUCUUCCUUUUUAUCCUUUAUUUUCAUUUUAAUCUUUCGCCGCCAUGGCCGACGGUGGCGGCGACACACCCUCUCCGGCAACAUCAUCCAUUCCUUUGGCUUCUACAAUAAUCAAUUUUAAUUUCCAAGGAAUGAGAAAAUAUGGACAUGGAUUUCCAAGUGGUUUAUUCAAUCAUACCAUCACCUAUUUGCAUGGCGAUGUAGGUGAACGGUACGCACUCAUUUUCUCAACUCUAAUUAAGCCCACGUCAUAAUCUUUGUAGUUAUAUUAUAUAUACAUAUAUUUAGCAAAACAUCGUCUAAGCUAUUUUUUCUUUUCAAGGAAAUAGUUUUAUUAUCUUAUGAUUAAAGGAUUUAGGGUUAGAAACAAUUAUUUAGGCGUUAGGGUUUGAGAUAUAAGGUUUGUAUUUAUGUUAGGAACCAGAAAGUAAGAUAUAGUGUUCGUAUGAAUCAUUUUGUUUCUUCCUUAGUGUAGAGAUUGCUGAGAUUAUUUAUCUUUUAAGGGAAAAAAAGAGAAAUCAAAAGAUGAGGAAAAAGGAAGGAUUGUGUAUGGAUAGGGAAAGAAAUGAUAUAGGAUUGUGUUUCUCUAUGAAUUAAAAAGUUAAGACAUUGGUAAUUUGUUGGGGAAGAUUGAGGUUUAGUCAAUAGUAAAAAUAGUGUUUAAAUUAUUCCUUUAUAAGGACAUAUCCUAUUUUGGAUACAAGUAGAAGAAAAAGGGUAGGAUACAAUAAAUUAUAUUUAUGUUAUUAUUGAAAAUAUGACAUACAUAUUUUAAUUUACAUAAAAGAGACAUUUUGGAGAAAUAAGGAAGCAAAAAAAAAAAAAAAAAAAAAAGAGGAAUAUGGAAGGGAAAAAAAUUAGGAGGGAUAAGGAAGGGAAAAAGAAAAAAGAAAAAAAAAUAGGGAGGAAUAAUGAAGGGGAAAAAAAAAAGAAAAAAAAUAGGAGGAAUAAGGAAGGGAAAAAAAAAGAAAAAAAAUAGGAGGAAUAAGGAAGGGGGAAAAAAAGGAGGAAUAAGGAAGGGAAAAAAAAAAGAAAGAAAAUAGGAGGAAUAAGGAAGGGGGAAAAAAAAGGAGGAAUAAGGAAGGGAAAAAAAAAGAAAGAAAAAAUAGGAGGGAAAAAAAAGAAAAGAAAAGAGGGAAAAAAAAGAAAAGAAAAGAGGGAAAAAAAGAAAAGAAAAAGAGGAAUAAGGAAGGGAAAAAAAAAGAAAAGAAAAAGAGGAAUAAGGAAGGGAAAAAAAAGAAAAAAAAAAGAGGAAUAAGGAAGGAAAAAAAAAAGAAAAAAAAAUAGGGAGGAAUAAGGAAGGGGAAAAACAGAAAAAAAAAAUAUAUGGAGGAAUAAGCAAGGGAAAAAAGAGAAAAAAAAUAUGGGGGAAUAAGGAAGGGGAAAAAAAAGAAGAGGAACAAGGAUGGAAAAAAGAAAAAGAAGAAAAAUAAAAUAAAAUAACAUAGAAUAAAAUAUUCUCUAAAUUAUAUAAACUAAAAUAUGUAUGUGUUAUUUUCGGUACAUAAGGUAUUGUAUUUAAGUACAGUACAAGGAAGAAGAAUAUAUUAGUAUUAGGAUUGGGUUGUGGAGAUGUAUAAGAUAUCAAUGUAUUUAUUUAUGUCAAAGUAAUAUCCUUAUUCUUUUAGUCAAUAGAAAUUAUAUACUAUAAGAAUUAUUUAUUUAUAAGGACAUAUCCUAUGUUUUAUAGGAUACAAAAACUCUAUUUAUGUUAGUCUUGAAAAAAGGAUAUGAUACAAAAAAUUAUAUUUAUGUUUGUAUUGAAAAUAUGACAUACAUAUUUUAAUUUACAUAAAAGAAACAUUUUGGAGAAAUAAGGAAGCAAAAAAAAGGGAGGAAUAAGGAAGGGAAAAAGAAAAAAAAAUGAGGAGGUAUAAGGAAGGAAAAAAAUGAGAGAAAAAAACAGGAGGAAUAAGGAAGGAAAAAAAAAAAGAAAAAAAAAUAGGAGGAACAAGGAAGGGAAAAAAGAAAAAAAAAAAAGGAGGAAUAAGGAAGGAAAAAAAAAAGAAAUAAAAUAGGAGAAAUAAGGAAGGUAAAAAUGAAAAGAAAAUAGGAGGAAUAAGGAAGGGGGAAAAAAGAAAUAAAAGAAAAAAAUAGAAGGAAUAAGGAAGGAAAAAAAAGAAAAAAAAAAAAAGAGGAAUAAGGAUGGAAAAAAGAAAAAGAAGAAAAAUAAAAUCAAAUAACAUAGAACAAUAUAUUCUCUAAAUUAUAUAAAUUAAAAUAUGUAUGUGUUAUUUUCAGAUUUUAGGAUUGGAUUGGAGAUAUAUAAGAUAUGUCUAAUGUAUAUUUAUUUAUGUUAAGUACUAGGAAUUCAGAUUUUAGGUUUCACAUGUUUUCUCUUUUCUUUUCUUUUCUUUUAUUUUAUUUUAUUUGUGAAAAGGCUUCCUUCCUAUGACAGAGUUGAGGGAAUGGUAAAAUUCUCUUCAUGUUCUCGAGGUGAAGAAUUUUUUUUUCUUUUCACCCUCUCUAUUUGGAACCAAUUUUUAUUUUUAUAUCUUAUCUUUCUCAUUUAAAUUUUUCAUUCCACAUGAAACCAAAAAGUUUUGUAAUGAAUGUAAAUAUGUUUUUGUAUUUGGAAGGUAAUUGAAAAUUAUAUUAAAUCUAUAACUAAUAAUAUAGGCUUUUAAUUAUGGUUUUAAUUCUAAACUUUUUUUAAAAAGAAAAUUACCUCCAAAUCCUAUAAAAUAAUCCAACAAUGAGGUUCCAAAAAGUGGGUUGACAAAAAUUCUAAUAUAGCCAAAAUUAAUGGAUAGAUUCCACUUAUUUGAAAAAUCAUGACUUCAAUGUUGGAGGAAUGAUAUAUAAAAUAAGACAUUUUUUCAAAAAAAAAAAUCGUUUU